rnacentral:lncRNA from 1 species
GCCGGGGCGUCCCCCGCGGGAGCCCGCAGCCACCCGGGACGCGCAUCCAGACGUGGCGCUUCGGACCGGGCACGCUGCGCCCGGGGGCUCGGCGGACCCCGCGUAGCCGCCGCUUCGGAGCUUGUGCGGCGCGGGCUGGCCAGCGGGGCGGCCAGGGCCCGGCCCGCCUCCCCAGCGCCCGCCCGGCUUCUCCCCCUGGCGGUGGGAGCCUCGGCGGCCGCUGGCGACACUAGGCGCACUGAAGCCCGAGCCGAGCCGAGCCCGAGCCGCCGCCGCCGCCGCCGCUGCUGCGCACCGCUCCCGGGCUCCCUCCCAGCGCGCCGGCCGGGGUGUGGGGGGCGGCGGGCCGGAGGGGCGAGGGCGGGCCAGGGGGCGCACACGGGGGUUGGCGCGGAAGACAGGACCCUCAGCCUCGAGGGAGCCCCUAGGUGACCAGGCAAAAUGGCAGUUCCUUCCAGCUGGUCCUCAGAUGGGCACAUCUAUUAGCCUCUGCUCUUGUAAGAAGUUAGCUGCAGAACCCACAUGUGAAUCCUUGUAGGACUCUGGAGAAGAUCAAAUGGGAGCUUAGAUGUGGAAGCUCUUUGGAAACCAAGAAACACUCUGAAAAUGAAAAGGGUGGAAGAGUAAACUGUUCCUGUUUCUCCAUCUUGACAGGAAGCAGAAGUUCUCCUUAGCUGAUUUUUCUUCUUGCCUUAUACUGGGUUCUUUAACACCAGAACAAAAAUAAAUAAAUAAAAGAAUCUUCCAGAAAUUCAUGAAGAGACUUCAGGUCAGGAAAGCCUGAACUUUCUCAUCCAACACCCGUUCAAGUCGGAGGAUGCUGAUUAAUUCAUGAUGGAAAGGUAUCAAUUUCACAGCCCAGACCUCUACAUUCUUGAAAUGCUCUUCUCAUGGGAGACAUUAAAUAAGCUUUGAAUUAACUGAAGAACCAAUGAUGUGAUCCCUGGAUACUGGCAAUUGUUGCCCAAGAAAACCUCUCCCCUUGCUGUGGGACUGCUGGGCACCCAAAUAAUGCACCCAAAUAAUUUGAUAGCUCUUGUUACACAGCUCUUCUUGGACUAAAAGGCCCUCAGCAUUCCUGUCAAUUUCUACACUCCUGAAGCUUCAUCUGACCUCUGUGGAUUCUAUAACUCAAAGACCCAGGCUGACGGCUGGUGGAAUAGCUACCAUCUCAAACAUGGCGUGAUGCUGCAUCAGAGAGAAAAAUAAGCUCUUGCAUUGACAAUGAAAUGUCUACCCUGUAGUGACUUGUGCUUACUUCCACUCACAAGUGAUUGCCCAGAGCUACUUACCUGGCUCCAAUCUACCACUGGGACCUUGUAUUGAAGACAGCGUAACCCCCAAGAGGAAAGGAGCUUGGAGCCCUGAAUCAGAGUAGAAGACAGGCUGAAUGAAUACCAGCCUUGGACUGUUGUGUGAAUGAAAAACAAGUUUUGAGAUUUGUGUGGUUUAUUUAUUAUAGUUACUGUUAUUAUUAAAGUUUUUCACUGCUUUACUCUCAG